AGCGAACGCUGGCGGCAGGCUUAACACAUGCAAGUCGAGCGGGCGUAGCAAUACGUCAGCGGCAGACGGGUGAGUAACGCGUGGGAACAUACCUUUUGGUUCGGAACAACACAGGGAAACUUGUGGCUAAUACCGGAUAAGCCCUUACGGGGAAAGAUUUAUCGCCGAAAGAUUGGCCCGCGUCUGAUUAGCUAGUUGGUGAGGUAAUCGGCUCACCAAGGCGACGA
rnacentral:rRNA from 1 species